rnacentral:sRNA from 1 species
UAUUCAUCCCAUGCGGGAAGGAUGAGAAGCUUCGACUAAGGUUCGAUUCGAGCGAAGCGAGAAAGCGUUGCCGCA